GUCUGUAUCUGCAUGUGUGGCACUAUUUACAUCUGUGUGUAUCUGAAUCUGUGUCUAUCUGCACGUGGGAAAUGUUUGUAUCUGUGUGUAAGUGCUUGUAUCCGUCUAUUUUCUCCAUUCCACACAGAUGAUAUCUGCAAUAGUGAGUAUAUUCAUUCUAGCACGAACACUUUAAUUGUUUAGUUUUAACACUGUUUGUAAUUGCUUUCAUCACUUUAUUUUUGUAUACUCACUUUGCUCUUACAAGGAUUUAAUUUAAA